rnacentral:rRNA from 1 species
AUUGAACGCUGGCGGCAUGCCUUACACAUGCAAGUCGAACGGUAACAGGUCUUUCGGGAUGCUGACGAGUGGCGAACGGGUGAGUAAUACAUCGGAACGUGCCUAGUAGUGGGGGAUAACUACUCGAAAGAGUGGCUAAUAUCGCAUGAGAUCUAUGGAUGAAAGCAGGGGACCUUCGGGCCUUGUGCUACUAGAGCGGCCGAUGGCAGAUUAGGUAGUUGGUGGGAUAAAAGCUUACCAAGCCUACGAUCUGUAGCUGGUCUGAGAGGACGAUCAGCCACACUGGGACUGAGACACGGCCCAGACUCCUACGGGAGGCAGCAGUGGGGAAUUUUGGACAAUGGGCGCAAGCCUGAUCCAGCAAUGCCGCGUGCAGGAUGAAGGCCUUCGGGUUGUAAACUGCUUUUGUACGGAGAGAAAAGUCUUGGGUUAAUACCCUGGGAUCAUGACGGUACCGUAAGAAUAAGCACCGGCUAACUACGUGCCAGCCGCCGCCGUAA